rnacentral:lncRNA from 1 species
CCCUCACUCAGACCAGAUGGUCAAUGCUUGCAGAGCAGUAACUGGGCAAGAUAAAGGAGGGAUGAAAAUCACUAAAUUCAGCACCCAAGGAGCCAAGACCAACCUU